ACGCCUAAUACAUGCAAGUCGAACGAAGUAGCAAUACUUAGUGGCAGACGGGUGAGUAACAUGUAGGUAUCUACCCUUUGGCCUGGAAUAACACGAGGAAACUUGUGCUAAUACCGGAUAAGUCUUUACGGAGAAAGCUUUAUGCACCAUUGGAUGAGCCUGCACUUGAUUAGUUUGUUGGUGGGGUAAUGGCCUACCAAGACAAUGAUCAAUAGCUGAUUUGAGAGGAUGAUCAGCCACAUUGGGACUGAGACACGGCCCAAACUCCUACGGGAGGCAGCAGUAGGGAAUCUUGCACAAUGGAGGAAACUCUGAUGCAGCGAUGCCGCGUGAGUGAAGAAGGCCUUUGGGUUGUAAAGCUCUUUCGUCGGGGAAGAAAAUGACUGUACCCGAAUAAGAAGGUCCGGCUAACUUCGUGCCAGCAGCCGCGGUAAUACGAAGGGACCUAGCGUAGUUCGGAAUUACUGGGCUUAAAGAGUUCGUAGGUGGUUAAAAAAGUUGGUGGUGAAAUCCCAGAGCUUAACUCUGGAACUGCCAUCAAAACUUUUUAGCUAGAGUAUGAUAGAGGAAAGCAGAAUUUCUAGUGUAGAGGUGAAAUUCGUAGAUAUUAGAAAGAAUACCGAUUGCGAAGGCAGCUUUCUGGAUCAUUACUGACACUGAGGAACGAAAGCAUGGGUAGCGAAGAGGAUUAGAUACCCUCGUAGUCCAUGCUGUAAACGAUGUGUGUUAGACGUUGGAAAUUUAUUUUCAGUGUCGCAGCGAAAGCGAUAAACACACCGCCUGGGGAGUACGACCGC
rnacentral:rRNA from 1 species